UUGUUACUCCCUUCGUUCCAAAUUACUCGUCGCAGAAAUGGAUGUAUCUAGAACUAAAAUACAUCUAGAUACAUCCAUACCCGCGACAAGUAAUUCGGAACGGAGAGAGUACUUG
rnacentral:pre_miRNA from 1 species